CUGAGUGGUUGGGAGCAGGGGCCAAUGAUGCAGCAAACUCUUAAGCUUAAACUCUUGCAGGCCACACAUGCUUGGAUUUACUGUACUCUCUGCUUAUGGGAACAAAGGGUCUGAUUGGGCCCCAUUCCACUACAAAAGAAUUACAUUGAGAAAAAGGAAGGAUCCCAUGAAAGAAAACUCAACUUUCAAGAAGAAGAUUUCCAAUCAUGGAGAUGAUUGCAAAGGUAGAAGGCUGAAAGUAGUCAGCACUUUCUCCUAAAAAGCAGAGAUGGAGGAUUAGGCAAAGG